rnacentral:tRNA from 1 species
GCCGAGAUGGCGGAAUGGCAUACGCUCAAGUCUUAAAAACUUGUGAGGGUAACCUCAUGUGGGUUCGACCCCCACUCUCGGCA